UGAACGCUGGCGGCGUGCCUAAUACAUGCAAGUCGAGCGAACGGACGAGAAGCUUGCUUCUCUGAUGUUAGCGGCGGACGGGUGAGUAACACGUGGAUAACCUACCUAUAAGACUGGGAUAACUUCGGGAAACCGGAGCUAAUACCGGAUAAUAUUUUGAACCGCAUGGUUCAAAAGUGAAAGACGGUCUUGCUGUCACUUAUAGAUGGAUCCGCGCUGCAUUAGCUAGUUGGUAAGGUAACGGCUUACCAAGGCAACGAUGCAUAGCCGACCUGAGAGGGUGAUCGGCCACACUGGAACUGAGACACGGUCCAGACUCCUACGGGAGGCAGCAGUAGGGAAUCUUCCGCAAUGGGCGAAAGCCUGACGGAGCAACGCCGCGUGAGUGAUGAAGGUCUUCGGAUCGUAAAACUCUGUUAUUAGGGAAGAACAUAUGUGUAAGUAACCGUGCACAUCUUGACGGUACCUAAUCAGAAAGCCACGGCUAACUACGUG
rnacentral:rRNA from 1 species